UAACCUCUAACCUAAUCUCCAAACUUAGGGCGUGUUCGGUUGCACAGUUUACCUCUGUUAAACCUGCACCCAAAAAGUGGAUAUUAGCAUGCCGCUGACAUUGAUUUUUCAAACCUUGCUUGCCACUCUAAUCUUAUAGUGGUUUUGACAUAUUUAAUCAAUUACACACUGUGAUAAUCUCAGACUUCAUUAUUUCAUUUCAAACUCAUAUAUUUUAUAUAAGAAAAGUGUGCAAGAUGUCAGAUAGUCAGUCUUCAAAUAAUAAGCUCUUUGAAUUUAAAGAAACUCAUCUGAGCUUAUUCUUAUCUGUUAUAUUAUCCGCACUGUCAAUAAUAAUAGAAGAUUUCACUUAGUUGACUGUUUCAUUUACCUCUCAUCAAUCCAUUUAAUUUAUAUCUCAAUUCACAUUUCAAUUCAUAUCUUAAUUUAUAUCUCAAUUUAUAUUUCAAUCUGCAUCUCAAUCUGUAUUUAAAUUCACUGUCUGUAUAUAUAGUUUAUAAAGUUCAUCAAUGAAGGAAGCAAUGCUGCAGAAUCUACUUGAUAUAAAAAAGAAUAAUAUAACAGAUUAGUAUCUGUUAACUAGUAAGUUAACUUACACAAUCAAUCUUUAUCAUCUACUUAUUAUAAUUAUGUGCUUAUGUACAUCUACAAAAUACUCCUCUUCUUAUAACUUCACUCUGUAUCUAUAUAGUCUCUAACAAUUUCUUUAUAUAAUUUUUAACAUUCUUUUACUCUGUGUUUCACUGUAGUAUAAUCUCUGAUAUUUUUCUAUUCUGAUCUCUUCUUUAUAAGAAUCCUCUUUAUACACUCUUUUUCUUCUGAUUUCUUUUUCUCUUUCUUUUCUUAAUCAAUUUGUAAACUGUAUUAGGAUAGUACUAAGUCCAUUAAUUGAUAGUACGUCUGUGAGCAUUAGAUGGAAACAAGCAUUAGAUGGUUGAUUACAAUAUGGGUGCCAAGCCAGAAUAGCUCAGCGUGGCGCUAACACUAACUACAUCAUGGCAUAGUGCAAAAGUUUAUUGUAGUGCAAUCAAGGUUGAACUUUUGCACCAUAUUCAACUGUCUGGUUACGAUCGACCAACCUUCUACCUCUGUCAAUUCUUUUAGAAAAAUUCAUAUUAUUGAAUUAUGUUCAUAAUACUACGCAUCUAUAUAUAUAGCGACCUG
rnacentral:sRNA from 1 species